GGAAAAGAGGGGCAAAUCCUGAUUCGAUGGAUGAGGAUGUUGAAGAAGUAUCAGAAAUCAGGCCUUCACAUUUUGAGGAGUCCAUGAAAUAUGCUCGCAGGAGUGUGAGUGAUGCUGACAUACGGAAAUACCAGGCAUUUGCCCAGACCUUGCAGCAGUCGCGUGGGUUUGGAACUGAAUUCCGUUUUGCUGAACAACCAGCUGGGGCUGCUGCAUCAGACCCGUUUGCAUCAUCUGCUGGUGCAGCUGAUGAAGAUGAUUUGUAUAGUUAGAUGCUUCAGGGAGCCAUGGUUUUUUCUUUUGCUCCGCCUCAGAAAUUCAGUAUCUGCAUACAACGAGGUGAUCACCCCUUAUACAUUUAUUUACAAAGAAAGGCUACUUAAGACUUUUGGCUUUCCAGCAAUAACCGGGUUGCUCUGUUCCUAUAUGUUAUGUCGACUAUGGAGUUAGCAUCUAUAGACCCAAAGAUUAUCUUAUUCGAGCAUUUUCUAUCUCUAGCCGAUGAGUCUGUUCAGAGUGUCGAUGCAGGUUAUCGAAGUUAUGUUCGUUUCUGGCGGAUCCACAUGGAGAUUAGGGUGGGCUGAUGCCCAUCCCUAAAUUUUCAUCUUUUUUUUGUAAAUAUAUAUAUAUAUAUAUAUAGGGUGCGGUUAUAGUGAGAACCACACUUAUCGUGAGAACAUAAGAACCAUUAAAAUCAAUGCAUCUACUAUAUAAAUUAAUGUAUUCCCUUACUAUAUAAAUUAAUGUAUUCCCUAUUAAAUUUAAUGCAUCCGAAAAUAAUAAAUUUUUGGCUCCCUUCAGGAUUCGAACCCAGGAUCUGCAUUCAUCCACCAAGAUGAUGCAUCCACCGUAGAUCUUGAUGAUCGAAUGGUUUAAAAUGAUUCUCUAUUCUAAUUUUAUUUAGUGGUUCUUAUUUGAACCUCUCCCUAUAUAUAUAUAUAUAAAUUAAUAAAAAAUUAAAAUAUAUAUAUAUAUAUAUAUAAUAUUAAGUAUUUAUUACAUUGAAGUAAGAUUUUCUUCUCACUCCCUUUCAAGNAACCCACCCACUCUGUUCUCUACUGUUUCCUUCAUAAGAUCAGUUAUUACUUGUAUCAACUCAAUUAAAGUCCCUGGUUUUAGGUCUUCGAAUAAGAUUCUUAGCGGUGCAGUGGCUUAGAGCUGGAAACAUAGUUUGUGUAUGUUGCUCGUUACGUUUGUAUCUAGGAGUUGAUCCAAUGAUUUUAUGUUGAUGUUGAUCAUUUAUGCUUAGUCUUUUCGCCUCUGGUAUUUAGUGAGUUCAUCCAGAUUAUUUCCCACUGGCAUUAUACGUGCGAGUUAGUUUAUUGACAAUAAUGUGUUUUCCAGGACAUAGAGAGGGAGAGGAAAAGAGGGGCAAAUCCUGAUUCGAUGGAUGAGGAUGUUGAAGAAGUAUCAGAAAUCAGGCCUUCACAUUUUGAGGAGUCCAUGAAAUAUGCUCGCAGGAGUGUGAGUGAUGCUGACAUACGGAAAUACCAGGCAUUUGCCAGACCUUGCAGCAGUCGCGUGGGUUUGGAACUGAAUUCCGUUUUGCUGAACAACCAGCUGGGGCUGCUGCAUCAGACCCGUUUGCAUCGUCUGCUGGUGCAGCUGAUGAAGAUGAUUUGAUAGUUAGAUGCUUCAGGGGACCAUUGGUUUUUUCUUUGCUCCGCCUAGAAAUUCAGUAUCUGCAUACAACGAGGUGAUCACCCCUUAUACAUUUAUUUACAAAGAAAGGCUACUUAAGACUUUUGGCUUUCCAGCAAUAACCGGGUUGCUCUGUUCCUAUAUGUUAUGUCGACUAUGGAGUUAGCAUCUAUAGACCCAAAGAUUAUCUUAUUCGAGCAUUUUCUAUCUCUAGCCGAUGAGUCUGUUCAGAGUGUUGAUGCAGGUUAUCGAAGUUAUGUUCGUUUCUGGCGGGGUCCACAUGGAG
rnacentral:lncRNA from 1 species